AACCAAGGUAACACAUCCAAAAUAUUUCAAUGGUAGAUUUUUACUGGUAGGACUUCGUGUUUGCGCAACCAACUCCGUUUUCAUCUCGGUUUGGGACAACGUGGAUUCAGCACCCGACAGCACACGCUUGUUUUUUGGUCACAGCGGUGUCAGCAGCACUCACUGACCGUGGCAACAACCAUGAGCGGGAUAGUGCGCACGCGCGUUAUGGUUGUUCAGCGCUAAAACGCAAGACAUAUGACUGCAUUUGCUCCAUCAGCAGAAGGCUCGGCUGGAGGGAGUAUGACGUGUUCUCAACCUGCGUCAGACAGCAGCAGGUGUACCUCAAGAUACCUACACAGCAGCUUGGCCUUCACCUCUGCUGUGAGUUCCAAUCAGGGGAUCAGGGGAUCAGGACAGAGAGAGGCAACAGAGCAGAGCACUCUGCUAAAUCAACAGGGGAUUGCUACUGGAACGAUGACAGGGCAUCAACUGCAUUGUGGGGGGGCGGGGGAGCUACCAGGCCAGUGAGCACAUUAUAUGUAACAUUAAAAGCUGUAAUAUGUGAUACAGAAGGAGGAAGCAUGUUGAUGUGGAAGGGAGGGGAUGUGAAUGAUAUCGCGGUUCCCAGUCAAUUGAGGUCAUCUCAAUGUUUCAAAUAAAGUUGAGUAUUUAAAACAGAUUUUU